CUCAAUGGAGCUUUACUCAACACCAACAAUCAGAACACUGACCUAAUUGAGGGCUCUGUCAUUACCUUCCAAUGUGAUCCUGGGUUCUCACUGGUGGGUGCAGUGACUGUCACUUGUAACAACUCUGGUCUUUGGUAUCCUGACCCGGCUCUAUUGGAUUGUGUAUCUAGAAGUUUUCAAUCACCCACCCUAUUUACCAGAGAGAUUCUUUCUAUCAGUGUGGUUGUCACUGCAGUUGCUUUCACAGUCAUUGGAUUCCUCACUGGACUCUUAGUGAUGCACCUUUGCUCUCGUAAGAAAGCAGUGUACUUCCCAGCAGCUGAA